AAGGAUCAUUACCGAGUGCUGGGCCCUCUGGGUCCAACCUCCCACCCGUGUCUAUUGUACCUUGUUGCUUCGGCGGGCCCGCCGUUUUCGAACGGCCGCCGGGGAGGCCUCGCGCCCCCGGGCCCGCGCCCGCCGAAGACCCCAACAUGAACGCUGUUCUGAAAGUAUGCAGUCUGAGUUUGAUUAUCAUAAUCAGUUAAAACUUUCAACAACGGAUCUCUUGGUUCCGGCAUCGAUGAAGAACGCAGCGAAAUGCGAUAAGUAAUGUGAAUUGCAGAAUUCAGUGAAUCAUCGAGUCUUUGAACGCACAUUGCGCCCCCUGGUAUUCCGGGGGGCAUGCCUGUCCGAGCGUCAUUGCUGCCCUCAAGCACGGCUUGUGUGUUGGGCCCCCGUCCCCGGUUCUCCCCGGGGACGGGCCCGAAAGGCAGCGGCGGCACCGCGUCCGAUCCUCGAGCGUAUGGGGCUUUGUCACCCGCUCUGUAGGCCCGGCCGGCGCCAGCCGACACCCCAACUUUAUUUUUCUAAGGUUGACCUCGGAUCAGGUAGGGAUACCCGCUGAACUUAAG
rnacentral:rRNA from 1 species